rnacentral:rRNA from 1 species
GAACGGGUGAGUAACACGUGGGCAACCUGCCCAAAAGAGGGGGAUAACACUUGGAAACAGGUGCUAAUACCGCAUAACCAUAGUUACCGCAUGGUAACUAUGUAAAAGGUGGCUAUGCUACCGCUUUUGGAUGGGCCCGCGGCGCAUUAGCUAGUUGGUGGGGUAAAGGCUUACCAAGGCAAUGAUGCGUAGCCGAACUGAGAGGUUGAUCGGCCACAUUGGGACUGAGACACGGCCCAAACUCCUACGGGAGGCAGCAGUAGGGAAUCUUCCACAAUGGGCGAAAGCCUGAUGGAGCAACGCCGCGUGGGUGAAGAAGGUCUUCGGAUCGUAAAACCCUGUUGUUAGAGAAGAAAGUGCGUGAGAGUAAUUGUUCACGUUUCGACGGUAUCUAACCAGAAAGCCACGGCUAACUACGUGCCAGCAGCCGCGGUAAUACGUAUGUGGCAAGCGUUAUCCGGAUUUAUUGGGCGUAAAGGGAACGCAGGCGGUCUUUUAAGUCUGAUGUGAAAGCCUUCGGCUUAACCGGAGUAGUGCAUUGGAAACUGGG